rnacentral:rRNA from 1 species
AUUGAACGCUGGCGGCAGGCUUAACACAUGCAAGUCGAGCGAGCGGCGGACGGGUGGGUAAUGUCUGGGAAACUGCCUGAUGGAGGGGGAUAACUACUGGAAACGGUAGCUAAUACCGCAUACCAUCAGAUGUGCCCAGAUUGGAUUGGCGAGUAGGUUGGGUAAGGGCUCACCUAGGCGACGAUCCCUAGCUGGUCUGCGAGGAUGACCAGCCACACUGGGACUGAGACACGGUCCAGACUCCUACGGGAGGCAGCAGUGGGGAAUAUUGCACAAUGGGCGAAAGUCUGAUGCAGCCAUGCCGCGUGUGUGAAGAAGGCCUUCGGGUCGUAAAGCACUUUUAGCGGUGAGGCGGUACUCGAAGAGGAAGCAACGGCUAACUACGUGCCAGCAGCCGCGGUAAUUC